AUAUAGCAUUCUAGAAGCUUGGCUCACACGUGCGGAAGGAGUGAAGAAGCAUGUGCGCAGUGAUGAGCUGGCUUCAAAAGGCAACUUGCGUUUUAACGGCGUUGGAUGUUGACAGCAUAAACCGUUAAAACGUUGACGUGGUUACUUUUUAGUAUAAGAGCAAUUUGUUAGCUCACGCUUUCUUUAUGCAAAGUUUCUGAACCUGUAUUGUUCUAGAACUUUCUCUUCCUCAUCGUUUUGCCGGAGCUUCUCAUCGGAGUCUCUUGCAGGUGAGAAGUGUUACUGCGUUUUAGGAACGUUGUAACAGUUAUCGUAAUCGUUUAAUAAAGAAUACUCUGUUCUUACUCUGUUUACGGUUUCACUGGUACCAGAGCUAAUCGUCCUCGGAAAUCAUGGUGACGGAGACGAGAGCUCGUAAGUUACAAGAGGAUCAGGAGGCUGAUGAUGCAUCGGAGUUGGUUCGCGGUGAGGAUGACACCAUCGGAGCAUGAUUGGAGCAAGUGAUCAGUCGUACUCAAGCUCUUGAGCUGUCGAUGGCGGAGCAGAAUAAGAAAAUGGGUCAAGACAUUGCCGAUAUGUUUGACAUGAUUAAGAUGAUUCCUAAACAUCAAGGAUCAUCAAGUGGAAAACAAAGUAUGGGAAGAAAUUACCAGGCAGUAUCGGCGACGCUGGAAACCUGUGACGAUGAUACAGAUCCAUAUGGGAGAAGUAAAUUGGGGUUGCAAUCGGGUUAUGCAGGAAUUACAAGGAUGGGAAAGGUGUCCUUUCCUCGGUUUGACGGAGAUCGUAUACGUGAUUGGUUGUUUCAGGUGGAGGAGUUUUUCUCUGUGGAUCAUACUCCACCGGAGUUGAAGGUUCAGCUAGCGGCGAUACAUUUCGAUGGCCGUGCAGCCACGUGGCACAGGUCGUUAGUCUCAACACCAGGCAAUCGACGUGUAUUACGAGACUGGAAUAAUUAUAAACUUGAGAUUCUGGAGAGGUUUGAAGAUGCGUUAGAGGAUCCUGUAGCUGAGCUUAAACAGUUGCAAGAAACUAAUGGUAUUCUUGAGUAUCAUGAACGGUUUGAGCUUAUCAAAAAUAGGUUGGCCCUCUCAGAAGAUUAUUUAGUGAGUGCUUAUUUGGCAGGGUUAAGACUGGAUACACAAGUGCACAUCAGAAUGUUUAAGCCGCAGACGGUGAAGCAAUGUUUGACUUUGGGAAAGUUAUAUGAAAAGGCUCAUCCACAGCCUAAAUCCAGUGCCAACACUUGGAACAGUGUGAGGAAUUCGGGUAAUAGUUCUUUGGGCAAAGGGUUUCAAGGAGUAAAGAAGGAGAGCUCUCCUCAACCAACACAGUCCAGUGAUACAACUCAUACUACUGUGGUCAGGCAACCUACCAGGAAAUUGUUAUCACAAGAGGAGAUGAGUAUGAGAAGAGCCAAGGGCUUAUGUUUUCAAUGUGAUGAAAAGUAUACGCCUGACCAUUAUCUAAAACACAAGAAAACACAAAUUUAUAUGCUGGAAGUCGAAGAAGAAUCCGAUAAUGAGGAAGCACCAGAGACUGAGAGUAAUGAGAGUCAAAUGGUGGUUAGUGGUGGCAAUUGCAGACCUCAGGCUUCAGUCAGUACGGUUACUGGUACUCCAGGAUAUUCUACUAUGAAAGUGCGUGGUGUUCAUGCUAAGAGGGUGAUCUUUGUGUUGUUGGAUUCUGGCUCAACACACAAUUUUAUGGAUCCACGUACUGCCGAUUUGUUGGGAGUUAAGAGGAGUUCUGCAGGGUUUACUAGAGUAUCAGUGGCUGAUGGAAGUCAAUUAAAGGUUCAAGGCAAGGUUGAGAAAUUUCAAUGGGGAUUUCAGGGCACAAACUUUCAAGCUGACUUUAUGAUCAUUCCUUUGGGAGGAUGUGAUGUGGUAUUAAGAGUUCAGUGGCUUGCCACCUUGGGAGAUAUUACAUGGAAUUUAAAGAAGUUAGAAAUGAGGUUUACAUGGGGAAAACAGAAGGUGUUGUUACAUGGUAUCAAACAAGGCAGAGUAAGAGAAGUUAAAACUAUCAAAUUGAACAAAUUAAAGGCUGAGGAAGCACAAAUUUCAAUGAUAUGUGCUCGUGUAGUGGAGGCGGAUACAAGCGAAGAGCCAAAUGCUGACUGGAGUAUAUGUAAUUUGGAGGUGCAGGGAGGUGCUGAGGAAACUCCUGCAGCAAUUACUCAACUUCAGAGUGCAUUUGCAGACAUUUUUGAAGAACCAACUGAAUUACCACCAUUCAGAACUAAUCAUAACCACAAGAUUCCGGUGGCAGAGGGUUGUGAUCCAGUCAACCAGAGGCCUUACCGCUAUGCAGUGUAUCAGAAGGAUGAGAUUGACAAAAUGGUUGAGGAAUUAUUAAGUAAAGGGACUAUACAACCCAGCUCUAGUCCAUACGCAGCGCCUGUGGUAUUGGUGAAAAAGAAAGAUGGUACUUGGCGUCUUUGUGUGGAUUAUAGAGGUCUGAAUGGUAUGACUAUAAAAGACAGGUUUCCUAUUCCACUUAUUGAGGAUUUGAUGGAUGAAUUGGGUGGUUCAUGCAUAUUCUCCAAGAUCGACUUACGUGCAGGAUACCAUCAAGUGCGUAUGGAUCCAAGGGACAUUCACAAAACUGCUUUUAAGACACAUAGUGGUCAUUUUGAAUAUGUGGUCAUGCCCUUUGGCCUCACCAACGCACCAGCCACGUUUCAGAAGUUGAUGAAUACAGUGUUUAAGGAAUUCUUGAGGAAGUUUUUCCUUAUAUUUUUUGAUGAUAUUUUGAUAUACAGCUCUUCUGAGAAGGAUCAUUUACAACAUUUGGAACAAGUGUUCCUUACAAUGCGGAAUCAUAAACUUUUUGCUAAGGGAAGUAAGUGUGCUUUUGCAACAGACAAGGUAGAGUAUCUAGGCCAUUAUAUAUUUGCAGGAGGUGUUUCCACUGAUCCAGCCAAGAUCAAAGCUGUAGCAGAAUGGCCUGUACCUGCAACUCUGAAGCAACUCCGGGGUUUUUUGGGCUUGGCAGGGUACUAUCAUUGCUUUGUGAAGAAUUUUGGUACCAUAGCUCGUCCUUUAACAGCCUUGACCAAGAAAGAAUCCUUUAGUUGGUCAGAAGAAGCACUUGAAGCAUUUAUGCAAUUGAAAUCGGCUUUAUGUGAAGCACCAGUCUUAGCUCUGCCUCUCUUUGAUCAACCAUUUCUAGUGGAGACUGAUGCUUGUCGCCAGGGCAUAGGGGCGGUGUUGAUGCAAAAUGGUCAUCCCCUAGCUUAUAUCAGCCGUCACUUGAAGGGAAAGCAAUUGAACUUGUCUAUAUAUGAAAAGGAACUGUUGGCAGUGGUGUUUGCAGUCCAGAAGUGGCGCCACUACCUCCUUCCCAACCAUUUCAUUAUCAAGAUAGACCAACGCAGCCUGAAGUACUUAUUGGAGCAAAGGCUGAACACACCAAUUCAGCAGCAAUGGUUACCUAAGCUACUGGAGUUUGACUAUGAGAUUCAAUACAGACAAGGUAAAGAUAAUGUGGCUGUCACGUGUAGAGGGAGCUGAAGUUUUACACAUGGCAAUGUCAGUACUAGAAUGUGAUUUGCUCAAAGACAUUCAGGCUCAUUAUACAACAGACUCAGAAUUGCAACAAGUGAUCAACACUCUGGAAAAGGAUCCUACAGCUAAGAAACAUUAUUCAUGUGUGCAAGCUAUACUUAGGAGAAAAAGUAAGAUUGUGGUCCCUAAUGAUCUCAAGCUGCGGAAUACUAUUCUCCAGUGGAUGCACUGCUCUGGUAGUGGGGGUCACUCAGGCAGGGACGCAACACAUCAAAGAGUUAAGGGUCUCUUUUACUGGAAGGGUAUGUCAGUGGAUAUACAGAAGUAUAUCCGGAGCUGUCAAGUCUGUCAAACUUGCAAAUAUGACACUUCUGCUUCUCCAGGACUGCUCCAGCCUUUACCAAUCCUAGAACCAAUUUGGACUGACAUCUCCAUGGAUUUUAUUGAUGGCCUCCCACCAUCGGAGGGAAAGACAGUUAUUUUGGUGGUUGUGGACCGUUUAACCAAAGCUGCUCAUUUUAUGGCAUUGGCACAUCCUUAUACUGUAGUGACUGUGGCUCAGACCUUCAUGAACACAGUCUUUAAACUUCACAGGUGUCCAAGAUCAAUCGUGAGUGACAGGGACACUGUGUUUCUUAGCACUUUUUGGAGAGAACUGUUCUCACUGCAAGGGGUGGAUUUAAAAUUCUCUAGUGCUUACCAUCCCCAGAGUGACGGGCAAACGGAGGUUGUAAACCGUUGCUUGGAAACAUAUUUGAGGUGCAUGUGUGGUAGCAAACCACACUUGUGGAGUAAGUGGCUGGCGCUUGCAGAAUUUUGGUACAACACCAAUUUUCAUUCUGCCACGCAAAUUACUCCUUUUGAAGCAGUUUAUGGUCAGGCGCCUCCCAUACAUCUCCCUUAUCUUCCCGGUGAGGCUAAAGUGGCAGUGGUUGCUAGAAGUCUGCAAGAACGUGAACAAAUGUUAUUAGUCUUGAAGUUCUUUCUACUCAGGGCCCAGCAUCGUAUGAAACAGGCGGCUGAUAAACAUAGGUCUGAGAGGAGCUUUGAAAUUGGUAACUCUGUUUUUGUGAAGCUUCAGCCUUAUCGCCAAGGGUCUGUGGUGGUUAGAACAACUGAGAAACUGGCGCCAAAGUACUUUGGACCCUACAAGAUAGUGGAUCGAUGUGGUAAGGUCGCUUACAAGUUACUUCUACCUCCAGGGUCUUUAAUACACCCUGUUUUCCAUGUGUCUCAGUUAAAGGCCAUGGUAGGUACAGCGCACACAUCGACUCAACUACCCUCCAUUGUAUCUGACGUCUUACUCAAGGAACCUGUCGCUAUUCUGUCACGGCAAAUGGUGAAGAGACAGGGUAGAGCGGCUACAAAGGUUUUGGUGCAAUGGUCCAAUGAAACUGAAGAUGAGGCAACUUGGGAGUUCUUGUUUGAUUUGCAGAGGAGGUUUCCAUCUUUUGAACCUUGCGGUCAAGGUUCUUCAUCGGGGGAAGCUUUGAUAUAGCAUUCUAGAAGCUUGGCUCACACGUGCGGAAGGAGUGAAGAAGCAUGUGCGCAGUGAUGAGCUGGCUUCAAAAGGCAACUUGCGUUUUAACGGCGUUGGAUGUUGACAGCAUAAACCGUUAAAACGUUGACGUGGUUACUUUUUAGUAUAAGAGCAAUUUGUUAGCUCACGCUUUCUUUAUGCAAAGUUUCUGAACCUGUAUUGUUCUAGAACUUUCUCUUCCUCAUCGUUUUGCCGGAGCUUCUCAUCGGAGUCUCUUGCAGGUGAGAAGU
rnacentral:lncRNA from 1 species